rnacentral:rRNA from 1 species
AACGCGAAGAACCUUACCUACCCUUGACAUCCUAGGAAUCCUGCAGAGAUGCGGGAGUGCCUUCGGGAACCUAGAGACAGGUGAUGCAUGGCUGUCGUCAGCUCGUGUCGUGAGAUGUUGGGUUAAGUCCCGUAACGAGCGCAACCCUCGUCCUUAGUUGCUACCAGGUUAUGCUGAGCACUCUAAGGAGACUGCCGGUGAUAAACCGGAGGAAGGCGGGGAUGACGUCAAGUCAUCAUGUCCCUUACGGGUAGGGCUACACACGUGCUACAAUGGACAGUACAAAGGGUUGCCAAACCGCAAGGUGGAGCUAAUCCCAAAAAGCUGUUCACAGUCCGGAUUGGAGUCUGCAACUCGACUCCAUGAAGUUGGAAUCGCUAGUAAUCGCAAAUCAGCAUGUUGCGGUGAAUACGUUCCCGGGCCUUGUACACACCGACAUA